AGUUUGAUCAUGGCUCAGAUUGAACGCUGGCGGCAUGCGUAACACAUGCAAGUCGAACGGUGUUUGGUGCUUGUACCAGACAUAGUGGCGGACGGGUGAGUAAUGCGUAGGAAUCUGUCUUAGGAGAGGGGGACAACCCGAGGAAACUUGGGCUAAAACCGCAUAUUCUCGAGAGAGGAAAGCAGGGGACCGGAAACGGCCUUGUGCUCUAAGGUGAGCCUACAUCGGAUUAGCUAGUUGGUAGGGUAAAAGCCUACCAAGGCGAUGAUCUGUAGCUGGUCUGAGAGGACGGACAGCCACACUGGGACUGAGACACGGCCCAGACUCCUACGGGAGGCAGCAGUGGGGAAUAUUGGACAAUGGGGGGAACCCUGAUCCAGCGAUGCCGCGUGUGUGAAGAAGGCCUGCGGGUUGUAAAGCACUUUCAGUGGGAAAGAGAAGCGUCUUGUGAAUAAUGGGACGUGGAGACGUUACUCACAGAAGAAGCACCGGCUAACUCUGUG
rnacentral:rRNA from 1 species